GAUGUGAACUAACUUGACGUUAUUGAUCAAAUAGGUAAAUUUAGAUCUAUCUCGUUUUUUUUGUAAAGAAAACAUGAAUACCUCCCGGCCCAAUUUCCAUGAAGUAUGCACCUCUUGCCUUCUUACUUAGGGCGCAGUUAUUCCUGUAGAUUCUUCUGCCUUCUCAUAUUUGCAUUUUUAUUUCAUUUUUGCCGUGUAGAUACUAACUUUCAAGAAUUUUCCAAUACAAACUUGUAUUGAGUAUAAAGAUUCAACGAAGUUCCACGGGCCGUUUCGUUCCGGGGAGGGAUAUGCAACAUUUUGAUUUGUGUGGAGUAGGUUUGGCGUGUAAUAUAGAACCUAUAUGUGGGCUAAUUUUGGGCUCAAUAGUCAAUAGUACUGCCCACUUUCUACUAUAAGGCAUACUUCUUUUUUCUCUAUAAUACCAAAUAAAUAUACUAGCAGGUGUGCCCGCGCGUUGCUGCGGGUCAACAAAAUCACAAACUAUUUAUUUUUAUUUUCUGUGUACGCAACUCAUUGCGCCGUCGAGGUCGGCAUGCGGGUGUGGUGGCGUCGGUCGUAAGACGGAGUAGGAGAAAUUGUGAAAAAAAUUGAAGGAAAAAAAAAUAGGCAAUGACAUAUUGGUUGUAAUUUUAACGAAGUUAACCUACGGUGGCGACCGUACCAUCACCACCAACUCUAAUUUAAUAUAUUGGUAUAGAUAUUGUGAACAUAUAUUUCAUGGUUAAUCUAUUGGUAUUGGUUUGGUAUUGUUGAUGUUGAAAUUUUUCCAAUAAAUUUGAUCAAACUUUUAAAAGUUUGACUUGGGACAAAUACCAUAUGCCUUAUAGCAUGGAAAUUAGUGAGUAUGACUCUGCUUCAACUGAUGAUACACGACAUAAAUAAUUGUUAGAUCUCCAAAAUGAAUUUUGCUUUCACCAAAUGUGAGUUUCUUCAACAAAAAAUAUAUUGUUGCCCGGCUCACCUCGGAGGUACGUAGCAUCCGUCGCGGGCGAAGAAGCCGUCGCCGUCCAACCCCGCCUCGCACGCGCACCGGUGACCCGCCGUCCCGCCCGGCGUCCGCACGUCGGUGCACGUCGCGUUCGCCGCGCAACGCCCCGCGGCGGCGCACGUGCCGUUGAGCCACCAUCCCAGCUCCGCCACGCCGAACUCCAGCGAGCCCCCGGCCCCCUGAUCCUCCGCGUCCAUGUAGACCGCUGACGUCAGCACGCCGUCACACUUGGUCUUCUCCGCCUUCCCCCAGUCCAGGAACGUCUCCGCCGUGGCGUUCUGCGCGGCGGAAGCGACGCACGCCAUGCUGGCGGCGGCGGCGGACGUGUCGUUGCCUAUGCCGCACUGCGCUGUGCGGAGGAGCCUGGUCAUGACCCCGGCGGGCACGCUGCAGGCGGAGGCGUUGCGCGGCGCGCGGCACUCGCCCCCGCCCCCGCGGAGGAAGAGCCCCGUGCGGGCGGACACGCCGUAGUUGGGGCCGGAGAGCGCGGCCCUGGCUUCCUGGACGGUGCGGUCGCAGGACGACUGGAGGGAGACGACGACGGUGGAGGCGGAGGAGUUGAAGGAGACGACGCUGCAUAGGGUCGUCGCCGCCGUUGACGUCGUGUCGUUUCCUCUGGGAAGGGGGAACAGCAUCGGGGUGCUGCUGGCGCCGUCGCAGGAGAGCGGGAUCGGGCAGCCGGAGGAGAACCCGAAAGGGUAAGGGACCUUCCUGUCGCCGCACUCGCGGUUGCACCGGCCGUCGUCAUCGGCAGAGAAGGUUUCAUGGGGCAGCGAGAAAACGAGGAAGAAGAGGAGGAGGACGGUACUGUCCAUAUUCGACCCCGCGGUGUCUGCGAGAAGAAGAAGACGAGCCACGUAAAGUGUGGAGGAAGAUCGAGCUAGGUGAGAAUUGCUCUGGGCUGUAGCCACGGAUUUUUACAAGGAUUUUUCCAAGCUACCACGGCCGCCGGCUGUAACCGGGCGUCCUUGUCAGAACUCACAAGUCCACAACAAGUGGCUUUGGGUCUUUUGGACUGAAAAGAGCUGAUGGGGUGGGUAGCCUCGCCACAAAGGACGGAUCAAGAUUUCAUCGGAAACGAACGGAAAAUUAAGUAGCCCGCUGCACCACCAACAGACUAGCCCUCUCUUGUUUAAAUCUCUGCCAAGGCACAAACCAAGUUCUGUCGUGAUCACAAUCAGACAAUUCAAGGCAGCUAGCUAGCAUUGGCGCUUAAUCAGUGAGAUAGUAACCAUUUUCUUCAUCGAUCUUUGCAAUGCACCGAAUAUUUGCUUAAUUAUGGCCGGUUUGAUUGCGAGGCCAGUGUCGAGUCCGAUGCGUAUAGCUUCGGGCUUCGGCGUCAUCCUUCUUGGUGAUGGAGCUUUCGUCCACCUGGUGCAGUGGGCAUGUAAUUCGUAUAUGGCGGAGGAGCAAUCCUAGAGGUGGAGAACCAACAACGGAUGUUUGCCCCUGCUCUGACAAAACCACAAACAGUUGGUGUGCAAGAAUAACAGACGGUAUAUUAACGAGGGGAUUAUACGCACAGCACAGGUGCGCGGCGAAGCAGAAGGAGCGGAGACAGAAGAAACCAACCUGAGAUGAGAGCCAAGCAAAAUCAAGGGCUCCUUUUCUUCGGAUUUACACGAUCGACGGCUGGAUUGGUUGAUUCGUAGGUGAUGUUUUGGCGGGAACGUCGUUGCCGUUCGGUUUAUUUCCAAUGUUUAAAAGCCUAUUGUUUUGGUUUUGGGACAGGGUCAUAAUAAGGUCAGAACAAGGAAACAUUAAUCAAAUUCGGCUGUUAUUUAGAUGGGUGUGGCUAUUUCUAAGUCGCCUGUUCUUUAAGAAAUGAGCCUUAAAUAUCAGUGAUUAAAAUUUGAGGGUCAUUCUCAUUUUCUCAUCACUCACUUGCUAUCGUUGGAUUAAUAUCCAAAUAUCCAAUGGCUAACCUCUCGAUUGAUCUCUAACUUAAAAAAUGACCGCUUAUCAAUAGCAAAACCGUUAGAUGUUUAGUUUUGUCCUAACUCAAACUUUUUUAAAAAUCUGACUGAGUUUAUAAAAACAUAUAUCAACAUCUACAACUCUAAAUUAGUUUAAUUAAAACCAUCAAGAUGUAUAUUUUUCAUGGCGUACUAAUUUGAUAUUGCAGAUAUUAGUAAUUUUUUCUACAAAGUGGAUAAAACUUUAAAAUUUUGAAAAAUUAUGACAAAUUCAGAACAUCUUACAUUUAUGAAUUGAGGUAACACCUACCAUUGCCAGAGUAUUUGGGGUGCCAAAACGGGAAUAAGUAACACCUUGACAUGUACCGUCAUGCAUUCUUUUAACGGGCAUGCAGAGGCGACGACCUGGCACUUGCUCCAGUGAUUGUCAUUUAUAAAUAGCUAGUGUGAUCUAUCGUAUUUGACGGGUCAAGAGAGGUCAAAUUCACCAAGCCAAACAGGAGACUUAAUUUGGUUGAUUCGGUUCUGCCUCUCCAAGCAGAAGAAAUUUCAGGUAAUUGCAGACAUAAUCUGGCCAGGGACAAUGAGACACACCAAGACGCGUACCUUAACAUUGGUGCAGGUAAUACAUAAACCCGUAUGAAUAGGACGUAAACCAAGAUUAGAAUCACUUGCAGAAACAACUUCGGUUCAGUCGAUAAUAAUUCUUUUAUGUUUGCAUUACAAAGUGUCAAAUCAACGGAUAAUUUAUUCUUUGAGAAUGGAUCCUUGGAGCACGGCGACGCGUGCCAGUUACUAUCUUGACCGACCUUCCAGUUGACCUUGCCGUGCGUGCACCGUUUCAGUAAUGAAACUUAUUACAGUAUUGGAUGGAUGCCGACAUAUCUAUAUCUACAGGAGGACUUCUUUGCGUGCACCUUUGUAGUCUUUCAGUCUUUGUCUUCUUUUGCAUUUAUAGAAUUAGAAUUUUUACAAAGUUGAAACCGGUGGCCAUCCUCGCUUGAAGCUUUAGCAUUGGAUCAGUAGAUCAGCCUCCACCCAUCCUGGCGUGAGAACAGAACCUUUUCGGAUGCCAGUUGAGCUCCCAGUCGUGCGACCUCUCUGUGCGCCUUCUUCUGAAGCCCAGCCCAAAGAAUGUUCAUGCGGCAACUGAAUAGAGGAAAUGACAUUAGCACUUUAGUAGCUUCAUUUCUUGCUUUUCAUGCAUACUGGCUAGAUAAAAGAAUGCGACCCCAACAGAAACUACACUACGCUCUGAACUAGAGUAGUGAAGAAUUUAAAUAUUGCAUAACUGAUCCAUCGAAACAUGAAUGGAACGACAAUUGAAGGCACACAGUACUAUAUAUGCUCCUUUCAAGUCUGGUCUCUUGAAUAUCUAUGGAAUUUUUGUAUGUGCUAACGCUGAGUUGACCGAGAAGAAAUGGCUCCAACAAAGACGCAAAUUGCUGUGGCGUGGUCCAAAAUCCAAACUGUAUAUAUACAGGUAAAACCGUGUUAAGGGGUGUGAUAGUAUCGGUGUCGCUCACUGGAGGUCCCAGCAAUUGGCCAUGGUUCCACCUCCCCCACGCCUUCUCCUUCUGCUACACCUGGCCCUCGUCGCCAUGCACUGCUCCGGUCUUGAAAACCGGUAUAGUUCUAGGAACUAUCGACGGUUCGAAUCCCUCUCUCUCCUUUUGCUUAUUGAAUACGUUUGUUUCUUUCAUUUAUUUUUCUUUAUUCUGUCCCUUUAUCUUUCAUUCAGAAAAAGGAAUGAAUGGCUUGGCGCACGUGUUGCUUACGACGACGUCCAGGAUGGCGGAGGCGAGACCACCCUGCGGCCAUCGGUGAUCUCGUGCUCAACGGCCGGCAACUACACCGACGGCAGCCAGUACCACGUGAACCUCUACAACCUCCUGUCGGCCAUCCCCAGGGCCGCUGCCAAGAACGGCGGCUUCUUCAACGGCACCUUCGGUGAGGGCGGCGACAAGGUCUUCGGCCUCAUCAUGUGCUAUGCCGGCAAAUACGACCACGACUUUAACACCGAGUGCCUGGACUGCCUCAACCGCGCACCCGAGGGGACCAUGCAGUUGUGCCAGCACAGCCGGAAAGUUCGCGCCCUCUACAACGCCUGCACUGUCCGGUACUCCGACGAGCCCUUCUUCUCCGUUGCAGACAUCACCAUAGCAUACCACGUGAAACGAACCCCUGACCAAUCUGGGAAUAUUCGAACCGUACUAGCUGGGCAAGUAGUCGACAUUGUCGGCAUGAGACGAACGAGGUUAGAGCUGAUUCGUGGGCUCACGCCAAGGGCCGCCCAAGCGACCGAGCGGACCGCCGGAGGCACAACACAGUUCAUUGACGGACAACAGAUGCAGGCGGACGUACAGUGCACAAGGGACCUGCCGGCGAGCGAGUGCAUGCGUUGCCUCUCCUACUACACCGAUCAGCUGCCACGAUUGUUUCCGAACAACAGCCGUGGCGUCAUCAAGGGUUACAGCUGCUACCUGAGUUACAUCAUCGUCGUCGACAAGCCAUAUACAAUUGAACUGGGGUCGCCUCUGUGGAAGCAGGAGCGGGAGUGGGAGUGGGAGCGGGAGCGGGAGAUGGCAUCCUCAGAGCGCAGAAAACAAAGACGAACUGUGCUUAUCAUUGCUGGGGUUGUCGCCGGCACCGUGGCGCUCGUGCUUUGUCUGGUCGGCAUGUUGGUUUGCUUCCUGUUGUACCGGCGUCAAAGACAGAAGGCCACAGCCACGAGAUCAGAGCUGGAACAACCGCUGAAAGACACUGCCUACUUCCGUGGCAAAAGCGUCGAUGAAGACGAGCUCGAGCAAGGGACUGGGCCCCGAAGAUUCAGUUACGAUGAGCUCGUCCUUGCCACCGAUGGCUUCUCCGAUGGGAAUAAGCUGGGAGAAGGAGGCUUCGGGUCAGUAUACCGAGGUUUCCUCGCCGACGUGAACCUUCACAUCGCCGUGAAGCAAGUGUCCAAGAGCUCCCGCCAGGGGUGGAAGGAGUUCGUCUCCGAGGUGAGGAUCAUCAGCCGGCUCCGGCACCGGAACCUUGUGCAGCUUCUUGGGUGGUUCCAUAGCGGAGAUGAUGACCUCCUGCUCGUAUACGAGCUGAUGCCCAACGGCAGCCUCGAUGGCCACCUCCACAAGCCAGGCCACCUGCUGCCAUGGCCGGCGAGGUACGAGGUCAUGCUCGGGCUCGGCUCCGUGUUGUUAUAUCUGCACGAGGAGACAGAGCAACGCGUGGUGCACAGGGACAUCAAGCCUAGCAAUGUGAUGCUGGACGCGUCCUUCAAUGCCAAGCUAGGCGACUUCGGGCUCGCAAGGCUCAUCGUUGGUGACGGUCGAGGCUCAUGCACGACUGGCGCGGCCGGGACGCUUGGGUACAUGGACCCGAAGUGCGUGUUUGAGGCCACGGCCAGUGUCGAGUCCGACGUGUACAGCUUCGGUGUCGUGCUGCUCGAGAUCGCCUGCGGCAGACGUCCGGCGGUCGACGAUGGUGAUGGAGCUGUCAUCCACCUGGUGCAGUGGGCCUGGAAGUCUUAUGGUGGAGGAGCCAUCCUAGAGGCGGCUGAUGCCCAGUUGGACGGGGAGUUUGAUGGGCAAGAGAUGGAGCGUGUGCUGGUGGUGGGGCUCUGGUGCAGUCACCCUGACCGCAGCAUGAGGCCAUCGAUCAGGCAUGCUGUUGGUGUGCUGCGGUUUGAGGCGCCGCUGCCGAUCUCCCACAGAAGAUGCCCAUCGCGACAUAUGUGCUGGCUGAGGAUUCUUUCGGUUCUGUGGGGGGCAGUAGUGAUGCUGGAACGACUCAUUCCGCAGCUCGAGUCAAAUUUGAUUAGGGGACUACUGCAUCACUGAUAUGUGCCUUUUAUGAUUAUUUCGGUAAUGGGUACGAAUAUGUACCAAGAAGAACUCUUUAUAUAUACAAUUAAACUGAAUCAAGCUCUAACAAUAUCAUUGUUGCGGGAAAUUAGUAAAAUGUUCUACCGUGUAUAAUUUAAAAUAAAAUUUCACGUAUAAUCGUCUGUUUUCUGUUUCCCUUGCUAGCUGGACAGAGACCUAGUCAUUUUUGGUGAAUUCAAAGAACAUUUCAUGAAAAGACAUUCGGAACAGAAAGCAACUAGGGGACUACUGAGAGAAAUACUGGGAAACUAAAUUAAAAGAUGGAGGUUGAUUACGCUUUCUAAAAAGGACAUGUGUGCUCCUAAUUAAAUUGCAGAGACGCAAAAGAAGAAUCACCCCCAAAUCCUUGGUGUAUAAAUUCACGCAAACAGUUGGCGUGCAAGACCAACAACAGACCAUAUCUGCACAAAGAGAUUGGGGUAUGUUGGUGUGGUGAGACUAAUGAGAUGGUAGCAGGAGUGAGUAAAGGAGAUUCACCUGUGGAGCACUCGGAUGCAGACAAAAGAAGGGAAAUCAAGAGAGGGACAGAACGAGACGAGGGGGACAACUCACUUGAUUUUGAACCUUCUCCUCUGCGACUCGUCACUCACGAUGCUGCGUGCGAAGCCGUCGCCAACCCCUCCCGCUGGACACCAAGAGAGAGAGAGAGAGGACGGGAUCAGCGCAGGGAUGGGCACGAGUACUCGGGGAAGAGGAUUUGGGGGAGAAGAAUCGAGAAGGGCAGUAGGGCACCAUUUACCAUUGCCGGCCAACGCGAGCCAGUGGAUGGGAGCAAAUCAAACCGAACGGCUGGUUUCCUUUAGAGUCGCAUCUAUGUAUGUGAUCCGUUGGAUCUGCACGAUCGACGGCUAAACCUGGACGUUGUUUCGGGGGUGAUGAUAUUUGGCGGCGGCUAUCAUUUUGGGUGUGUUUGGUUUAUGUCCAACUCUUUCCAACAUUUGGCUAGCAAUUUAUUUUGAUGAAAACGGCCCAUGAGUUGCCCAAAUUGGGAAGAAAAAUAAACUAGAGUCGGUAAGAACUAAGAAGUCAUUGGUUUGUCAAAUUAUUGGCUAUAAUCCAAACAAAGACCAAAGUUUUGAUCAUGAUCAAAAAUUUGGUAAGGUGGGUUUUGGGCAUUUUGGUUAGACUCCAAACACACCCAAAUGUAUGCUCAGCUAGAAUUGUUACAAUAUCAACAAUUUGGAGAGAGACGCCUCAUAUAGGUUUCACAAUCAAAAUGAAAAUUCAAAAAUCUCAGUGAAGCUGAAAUGGCUAAAUAUCAACAAUUUGAAGAAAAGGCCAGGCCUCAUAGGUGGAAUAUGAGGCUCCGUCCCAGAGAAAAACAAUUAUUCCCUUUGAUUCCCUUUGAUCAUCAUCAUCGGCCGCCAACACUGCUCAUGACCAUUGUUCCAGAACCCAAAGAAUUAGUUGGUGGCCCGUAGGUUGCAACUGGCAUCCUCGCCGGGAGGCUUGGCAACGGCGCUUCACACCGUAGCACGUUCAUGGCUUGCCUGAUGGAGGGCCGUAGGCCGCGGUCGGGGUGCGCGCACCAGAGUCCAACGAUCAUCACACGUUCCAUCUCCUGACCUUCAAUACCGCUGCCGCUUAGGCGCUUGUCGGCGGCGUCAAGGAUCGCUCCUCCGCCGUAAAAAUCCCAUACCCACUGCACCAAGCGGAUGACCUCCUCGUCUCUAGUAACUACCGCCGGACGGCGGCCACUGGUGAUCUCGAGGAGGACAACACCGAAGCUGUAGACGUCUGACUCGACGCUUGUCCUGCCAGCGAGCACGCACUCCAGGUCAAUAUACCCCAUCGUGCCAGCUAUGCCUGUUGUGUGUGACCUUCGACCGUCGUUGAUGAGCCUGGCGAGCCCGAAGUCGCCAAGCUUGGCGGUGAACGAGGCGUCCAGCAUGAUGUUGCUUGGCUUGAUGUCCCUAUGCACCACACGCUGCUCUGUGUCUUCGUGCAGAUACAGGAGCGCGGAACCUAGACCGAGCACUAUCUCAUACCUGGAGAUUAUAUCAUAUAAGAAUAAGCUGGAGAUGGGAGGAAGAUGGCAGAAAUCAAUUUGCUGAUGUAUAUCUUUAUUUUUAUGAGGAUGUCAAUUUAGAAAAAUUUAAAUGGGCAGACUACACUCAAUUUUUGUUAUAUAAAGAAUCAGUGCUCUGAGUUUAGAAAAUUACAUACCUUACAGACCAUGCCAACACGCUAUCUGUUGCGUACAGAUGGGUGUCGAGGCUGCCAUUGUGCAUCAGAUCGUAUACAAGGAGCAACUCGUCGUCGCCAUGACACCAACCAAUGAGUUGCACAAGGUUUCGGUGCCUGAGCCGGCUGAUGAUCCUCACUUCUGAGACAAACUCUUUCCAGCCCUGUCGAGAGGUCUCGGACACCCUCUUGACAGCCAAUUCACGGUUCAUGCCACCGUGGAAUCCUCGGUACACGGACCCGAAGCCUCCUUUACCAAGCACCCCGUCGUCGCAGAAUUUGUUGGUAGCGGCAGCAAGUUCAUGGUAGGAAAAUCGCCGAGGGCCGGUGGUUCCUUGGUCGAGCUCAUUAUCCCCUAGUUCGUCGUGGUAUACGGUCGCCUCUCUUGAUAGUCGUCUCACCGUCUUCCUAGCAUUGCGCAUUUUCCGACGGCACAAGAGGAAGCAAGCCACGAUGGUGAUAGAAAGCAGGUAAACGAUGACAACCGCCAGCAGGAGGAUCCACCGUGUCGAUAUUGAGACAUGCACAAAUCUCCACAUUAUCCAGGAAAUAAAAGAUGGAAAGAAUGUCAGACAUCAAAGUUGUGCUACGGUUACAACUUAAAGCAAGAAAUAAAAGUUGAGAGUUGAGACACAGCCUAAAUGCCUAAUCGUACAUCAGUUCUCUCUAGCAAACCAAGCCAAUUAGUGAGCAAUAAUAUUUUGAUGUGAACUAACUUGACAUUAUUGAUCAAAUAGGUAAAUUUAGAUCUAUCUCGUUUUUUUUUGUAAAGAAAACAUGAGUUCCUCCUGGCCCAAUUUCCAUGAAGUAUGCACGUCUUGCCUUCUUACUUAGGGAGCAGUUGUUCCUGUAGAUUCUUCUGCCUUCUCAUAUUUGCAUUUUUAUUUUAUUUUUUCCGUGUAGAUACUAACUUUCAAGAAUUUUCCAAUACAAACUUGUAUUGAGUAUAAAGAUUUAACGAAGUUCCACGGGCCGUUUCAUUCCAGGGGAGGGCUAUGCAACAUUUUGAUUUGUGUGUAGCAGGUUUGGCAUGUAAUAUAGAACCUAUACGUGGUGCAAUUAUGGGCUCAAUA
rnacentral:lncRNA from 1 species